rnacentral:misc_RNA from 1 species
GAUGAAGAACGUAGCGAAAUGCGAUAAGUAAUGUGAAUUGCAGAAUUCAGUGAAUCAUCGAAUCUUUGAACGCACCUUGCGCUCCUUGGUAUUCCGAGGAGCAUGCCUGUUUGAGUGUCAUGAAAUUCUCAACCUUUUCAGCUUUCUUUGUUGAUCAGGCUUGGAUGUGGGAGUAUGCGGGCUUCUCAGAAGUCGGCUCUCCUGAAAUGCAUUAGCGGGACCUUUGUUGCCUGGCUUUGGUGUGAUAAUUAUCUACGCCAUUGUGGUCAAGCAGCUUAAAAUGAGGUUUCAGCUUCUAACCGUCUCCCCUGAGACAACUUUUUGACAAUUUGACCUCAAAUCAGGUAGGACUACCCGCUGAACUUAAGCAUAUCAAUAAGCGGAGG